CGUUAAAACACCGUUUCCUGUACGAUCACUGAAGUUAAGUAACAUCGUGCCUGGCCAGUACCUAGAUGGGUGACUGCUUGGGAAUACUGGGUGCAGUAAG